rnacentral:rRNA from 1 species
GGCGGUGCGCCUUAUGCAUGCAAGUCGAGCGAAGCUUUUCAGUAGUUUACUACAGAAAAUGACUGAGCGGCGAACGGGUGAGUAACGCGUGAGCAAUCUACCUUAGUUACAGGGAUAGCCCGAGGAAACUCGGAUUAAUACCUGAUAUUCUUUACAUUUCGCAUGAAAUCAAAAGGAAAGGUCAGCCGAACUAAGAUGAGCUCGCGUUCUAUCAGCUAGUUGGUGAGGUAAAAGCUCACCAAGGCUACGACGGAUAGCUGGUCUGAGAGGACGAUCAGCCACACUGGGACUGAGACACGGCCCAGACUCCUACGGGAGGCUGCAGCAGGGAAUAUUGCGCAAUGAGCGAAAGCUUGACGCAGCGACACCGCGUGUGGGAUGACGGAUCUAGGUUUGUAAACCACUUUCAGGAGGGAAGAAAAUGACGGUACCUCCACAAGAAGCCCCGGCCAACUACGUGCCAGCAGCCGCGGUAAUACGUAGGGGGCGAGCGUUGUCCGGAUUUAUUGGGCGUAAAGAGCUCGUAGGCGGUUCAACAAGUCGGUCGUAAAAGUUCAGGGCUCAACCCUGAAAUGUCGAUCGAUACUGUUGUGACUAGGAUACGGUAGAGGUGAGUGGAAUUCCGAGUGUAGCGGUGAAAUGCGUAGAUAUUCGGAGGAACACCAAUUGCGAAGGCAGCUCACUGGGCCGCUAUCGACGCUGAGGAGCGAAAGCUAGGGGAGCAAACAGGAUUAGAUACCCUGGUAGUCCUAGCUGUAAACGAUGGAUACUAGACGUAGGAACUGGAUUGACGGUUUCUGUGUCGUAGCUAACGCGUUAAGUAUCCCGCCUGGGGAGUACGGU